CAAUAAUGCGUUUAGCGACAUCACGAGGUAGCUCCGAUAGAAGCAGCAAAAACAUAGUCUCACACAAGCGCUUGAUUUCACCUCAGCUGAAACUCAUAAGUGCUUUUACAUAUUUAACUUCAUUACUGUGCUAUUUUGAGGGCUUACGAACAAAAUAGACGACUUAAUACACCAAAGAAAUUCUCAUCUCUGAGCUGGGAUCGGCUGUGCCCUCAUCAAGCUUACCUGAGGGCCUCCCGGUGUCCAGUUUGGCCCUUCUGAUCCUGGUGCUCAUUCCCUGCGUCCUUCUGCUCCUGCUGCUCAACUGCCUGUUCGUGGGAUACAAGCUGUUCCGCAUGGCCCAGAGGAAGAGGGACCGCUUCGGAAAGACCAACUACGUCUCGGUCUCGGAGCCGAUGCUGGCGCCUCCCAUAACCUCGUCCCUGACCUCCUCAGCGGAGAGAAGGGCCACCGGGCAGCGCGCCAGGUUUAUUCGCCCGAAUAGGGCCACUUACGCCGGGUCCGAGUCUCUGCGUGUGCCGAACGUGAGGACGAGCGCCCCGGUUCUGCUGCAGUCCAGUGAUUCGGACACGGAGCGGGUCAACACGGUGCCACCGAACUCACCAGCACUGCAUGUGACUCCCAAUGGGUUCUCAAUGCGGAUGACUUCCAUGCGAAGCAGCACCAUGGAGCUGGAGAGCGCUCCUCCGGAUAAGAUCCAUGUGGAAUGCGAGUCUGCCAGCAUCAUCCAGUUGGAGAACUUCUGCUAUGUGGCGUCAUCAAGCCCCUCGGCUAGGGGUUCAGGACUGGACAGUGACUUUGGAGCCAGUGCAGGUGUAUCUCUGCGUAUCCUUUCUAUGGACAGUGAUGGUUUCCCGGGCUCUGCCUGGGCGUCCGUUCUGGAAUGGGAUUACUACGACCCAAGUUACGUCACUCAGAACCACGUCCCAAAGCACAGACCUCACGCACCCCCCAUCACUACCAAACAGUACUGGGUCUAGAGCCCGAGCUGCAUAGGGAGAGCCUGAUGAACACCAGAACAAGACUCGAUUCAGCCAUUCUCAUUCUAGAACUUCAGUUGAGCCGAGUCUAGAUUUCUGUCUGGGUUUAGUGCACUUAAUGUUCACAUGCGGUUUUAACUGCAACACAUCACUUGUUGUCAAAUCACACACACAAACACACACACACACACGAUUAAAAGUCUUCACGAUCACAGGUUUGUUCUGUUUACAAAAAUGCGUUUAUAUAAUCACUCCACUAUUGCUUUCACUUUAGAUCACUUUGAUUGACACGGCCUUUGUUUUACACGUAGAGUUUCUCACUGCAUUGUAAUUUUUAUGUUUGCACAUGAUUCUCAGCAUGGAGUUACUGAGGUCUACAGAAGCGGCUGUUUGAGUACUUCACAAUUUCGACAUGCUACACAUUCUUGUAUUUGUAAAGAAAAAAGUAUUUAGAUUGUGCCUGAAUUGGAUAAAGUUUUAAAAUACAGGGUGUCAUUUAAUUGCUGUGGACAUCUAAUGCAAUUAUAAAAAAAAUAAAACUGUUUCAAAAUAAUCGUAUUCCUUAAGAUCACUGUUUUCAUAUAUGCAUUAGGGGUUUUUAUAGCAGAAUAGCUGAUCUUGAGAUUUAAGUCUCAACUCUAUAAAACCAUGCAAGCUGAUAAAGACCAACUAGUUUC
ensembl:lncRNA uncharacterized LOC107661578